UCCGGUUUGUCACCGGCAGUCUCAUUAGAGUGCCCAACUGAAUGUAGCAACUAAUGACAAGGGUUGCGCUCGUUGCGGGACUUAACCCAACAUCUCACGACACGAGCUGACGACAGCCAUGCAGCACCUAACCACAGAUUCCCCGAAGGGCACCCCGACUUUUCAACCAGGUUCCUGUGUUUUCUAGCCCAGGUAAGGUUCUUCGCGUUGCGUCGAAUUAAACAACAUGCUCCACCGCUUGUGCGGGCCCCCGUCAAUUCUUUUGAGUUUUAGCCUUGCGGCCGUACUCCCCAGGCGGGGCACUUAAUGCGUUAGCUACGGCACGGAACCCGUCGAUAGAGUCCCACACCUAGUGCCCAACGUUUACAGCGUGGACUAC
rnacentral:misc_RNA from 1 species